CAGACAGACACACAAACAGAAACAUCUGUUUGUUGAGCUGCUUUUGUUAUCCGGUUAGAUUCAAAACUAGUUACAAUGCAGGGGAGUCAGAGACCACAAUUC